rfam:Nicotiana sylvestris Nsyl_contig116005, whole genome shotgun sequence.
GUGAGCCGUGUGAUGGGAAAUCUUCCCGCACGGUUCAGAGAGCACUGAAUUAGAAUGAGAUGUUUACCACCACAUCAUUGCAUGCAAGGGGAGUUCGUUGAUUCACAGAUUGGUCCGACUCGUAGUUCACUUCUGACCCCGU